ACCGUGAACGUCCGCCGUGAACCGGGGGUCGGUCCUGCGAUCUUGGUGAAUAGGACCACCUCGUUUUCUCAUCUCCAAAGUGGGGCUAACUUGACGUAGAUAGACUUGAAGAUACGAUCCACUUAUAUUUGCAAGAAUGCACCCCAGCUCAGAAGUGUUGGCGACAUCGGGGAGGGGUGCAGGUUUGGAAAAGGUUUUCCCAUUUUACUCUAGGAAGCCAUUCUUCAGGCCUUGGCAUGAAGCUGUUGAGCAGUCUGGAUCGUUCCACAGCCCGCCCGAGAAGAGCGCCUCUUUGGUUUAAUUGACCUUGAGCCACCCUCGAGUCCAUUCUCGGAGUCUGGAGCCAGGAGGACCCCAUCUGCUCUGCAGCCUGCCAGGGACCUGUCAUCAGCAGCUGACUCUAUUCCCUGGCUGUGGCCCCAGAUUACUAGGGAUCUGAACACCAAGAGGGGCUAGUCGCUGCCCACUGACGGAUGACUGAGAACAGGUGGGUCCUGAACGCCAGCCAGAGCCUAUUUGUGGUGAGGCAAAGCCAAUCCAAGCCAAGAUUCUGGAAACACUCAAGAGAACAUUCCUACCUCCAUUUCUAUCUGCUGGGAAGGCUGGGCACAGGAAACAGGCAGAACAAGGAAGGAAUUCUGGUUGUGGCUCACCGCAUCUGGGGCUGAUCUACACUGGAUCUCCUUAAACCCUGUCCCUCUUCCCCACCAUGUCUCCUACCCUCCAGGAUCUUGAGAAGAUUCCAACCAAGCACCUCCUUUGAGUCCUUGACAAGACAGCUAAAGUGAGAAGACAGCUAUUUAACGCCUUUUUUCAAUAGCUUUUCAUUAUAUUUAGAAUAAAAUAAAACAUAAAUUCUUUUUGUUUGUUUAU
rnacentral:lncRNA from 1 species